CAGACAAACAAGUGUCCAUUUAGGAUCUUUAUGCAUGGGAGAUAUCAAGCGAAGAAGAAAAGCUGCACCUCUUCCAGGACCCACUGGGUUUGUAGGUGAAAAUGCUCAACCAAUCUCAGAUAGCAACAUUGGCAACAGGAUGCUCCAAAGUAUGGGCUGGACACCCGGCACAGGCCUCGGACCAGACGGCAAAGGGAUAGCCGAACCUAUCCGAGCAAUCCAAAGGCCAAAGGGACUUGGGCUUGGAUUCAGCUGACCAGAAGGCACUCCAGGUGCUGCUCCAACAACAAGAUGGAUGUUUGACUUUAGCUUUGAAAAAAACUGAAAAAAAUUAUUCUGCUGUCCUCAAAAAAAGUGAUUUUUGCUGUAACUUUUGAACACAGAAGUGUCAAUGUUUUCUAUUGCAGCCACAAGGGCCAGCCACUAUGGCAAUACAGAUCUUUGAAUCCUAACUCUGUUAUGGUGCUAAUAUUUGAAAUUGUACUUUUUUAUUUAGUGUGGUCGUAACCAUUUCUAUUACCAAAAACUCCGACUUAUCUGUUCCUCUUGUAUUCCUCUAGGUAAAACCUUGUGAACAUACCUGUAUCCAAAUUGUUUUGUGCCACUCAUUCAUGCAAUGGUUUUUAUAGACUUAAUUAUCAUGAAAAACUAACUCUUGGAAAGCCACUUGUUAUUGCUUUUGACAAUAACGAUAAAAUCUAGAAAGUCGGUUCCAUGUAUCCCACCAAUUUAUUAGUGUUUGUGGUCAAAUCUUGUGCCACCCACAACAGUAAAUAUAAGAUGAAUUGCAAACGUGGGUUAUUCGCUGAGGGUGCAUCAGUGUAGAAUUGUGACAGAAGUAGAGAGGCAUAGUUUCAAGAACAUGUAACAGAUUUCACAUUACUAAAACAAUGGUGACCGUGGUUCUGUGGCAACAGCAACCUUGCUAUUGUUUUCUGUGUAAACCUUAAUGGGCAAUCUUCUUCAAGUGUCUGUACUAUCUUAGGCCAGCAUUUUAUGCUUUAACAUUAUUUGUGGUUUACAAGAUGUGCAAAUGAGUUGACAUAGUCAUCUGUUGCUCCACAGCAUGCAGGUUUGCAUAAGGAAUGCAUGACAAGUUUCUAUUCCAGCAGUUAUAGAGUGUAACCCCAUCCUCUAUGUGCACCUAAAUACAUCCCCUACAAGUACAGCUCUUAAUUUUUUAAAAUCUCCGGUGUUAUUCACCUAAAUGGAAAGAUCUUAAGCAAAUUGUCCUAUCAUCCUUUACCCAAUCACUGUGAGUGAAUGUGUAUAUUGACUCAUGAUUAGCUGAGUGGAUUUUAAAUGGGACAGUUUCACUAGAGCCUUUUAAUUUUAGAAAUAGUAUUGAAAAUGUUCUUAGCUGACAAAUGGUGGCUGCCAAGGAAGGGGUGGUUACAUCUUAUUCAUGGCUACAUGCUCUUAAAGGGAGAAAACAGGUUGAAAUGGUGAUGUAGGUAAUGCUUUGGUAAUAUCAUCUGCCAUAACUCUCAGAUUAAUAUCUUGGCUUACUCUUGUUCUGACAGCUCAAAUUCAUUAAAGAGGCCAUUUUAUACCA